rnacentral:rRNA from 1 species
UACAGAGACUGCAAGCGUUGUUCGGAUUCAUUGGGCGUAAAGGGUGCGUAGGCGGUGAGGUAAGGUGGAUGUGAAAUCUCAGGGCCUAACCCUGAAAGUGCAUCCAAAACUGCCUUGCUUGAGGACUGGAGGGGAGACUGGAAUUCUCGGUGUAGCGGUGAAAUGCGUAGAUAUCGAGAGGAACACCAGUGGCGAAGGCGGGUCUCUAGCCAGUUCCUGACGCUGAGGCACGAAAGCCAGGGUAGCAAACGGG